ACAGCAGCCGCCACGGUAAUACGAAGGGUGCAAGCAUUACUCGGAAUUACUGGGCGUAAAGCGUGCGUAGGUGGUGGUUUAAGUCCGUUGUGAAAGCCCUGGGCUCAACCUGGGAAUUGCAGUGGAUACUGGGUCACUAGAGUGUGGUAGAGGAUAGUGGAAUUUCCGGUGUAGCAGUGAAAUGCGUAGAGAUCGGAAGGAACAUCUGUGGCGAAGGCGACUAUCUGGGCCAACACUGACACUGAGGCACGAAAGCGUGGGGAGCAAACAGGAUUAGAUACCCCUGUAGUCCCUGUCUCUUAUAC
rnacentral:rRNA from 1 species